rnacentral:rRNA from 1 species
UACGGGGGGGGCAAGCGGUGUUCGGAAUUACUGGGCGUAAAGGGCGCGUAGGCGGGUGGUUAAGUCUCUCGUGAAAGCCCACGGCUCAACCGUGGAAUUGCUGUUGAUACUGUCUGUCUUGAGUCCGGGAGAGGAGGGUGGAAUUCCCAGUGUAGCGGUGAAAUUCGUAGAUAUUGGGAGGAACACCGGUGGCGAAGGCGGCUAUCUGGACGGAUACUGACGCUGAGGCGCGAAAGCGUGGGGCGCAAACAGG